rnacentral:rRNA from 1 species
AGUCGAACGAAGCACCUGAGAAUGAUUCUUCGGAUGAAGUCUCUUGUGACUGAGUGGCGGACGGGUGAGUAACGCGUGGGUAACCUGCCUCACACAGGGGGAUAACAGUUGGAAACGACCGCUAAUACCGCAUAACCCGCUGGUGCCGCAUGGCACUGACGGAAAAGAUUUUAUCGGUGUGAGAUGGACCCGCGUCUGAUUAGCCAGUUGGCAGGGUAACGGCCUACCAAAGCGACGAUCAGUAGCCGGCCUGAGAGGGUGAACGGCCACAUUGGGACUGAGACACGGCCCAGACUCCUGCGGGAGGCAGCAGUGGGGAAUAUUGCACAAUGGGGGAAACCCUGAUGCAGCGACGCCGCGUGAGUGAAGAAGUAUUUCGGUAUGUAAAGCUCUAUCAGCAGGGAAGAAAAUGACGGUACCUGAUUAAGAAGCCCCGGCUAACUACGUGCCUGCAGCCGCGGUAAUACGUAGGGGGCAAGCGUUAUCCGGAUUUACUGGGUGUAAAGGGAGCGUAGACGGUGAUGCAAGUCAGAAGUGAAAGCCCGGGGCUCAACUCCGGGACUGCUUUUGAAACUGUGUGACUGGAGUGCAGCAGAGCUAAGCGGAAUUCCUGGUGUAGCGGUGAAAUGCGUAGAUUUCUGGGGAAACACCAGUGGCGAAGGCGGCUUACUGGACUGUAACUGACGUUGAGGCUCGAAAG